rnacentral:misc_RNA from 1 species
GAUGAAGAACGCAGCGAAAUGUGAUAAGUAAUGUGAAUUGCAGAAUUCAGUGAAUCAUCGAAUCUUUGAACGCACAUUGCGCCCGCCAGUAUUCUGGCGGGCAUGCCUGUUCGAGCGUCAUUACAACCCUCAGGCCCCCGGGCCUGGCGUUGGGGAUCGGCGGAAGCCCCCUGUGGGCACACGCCGUCCCUCAAAUACAGUGGCGGUCCCGCCGCAGCUUCCAUUGCGUAGUAGCUAACACCUCGCAACUGGAGAGCGGCGCGGCCAUGCCGUAAAACACCCAACUUCUGAAUGUUGACCUCGAAUCAGGUAGGAACACCCGCUGAACUUAAGCAUAUCAAUAAGCGGAGGA